UAACCUGCCCAAGAGAUCGGGAUAACACCUGGAAACAGAUGCUAAUACCGGAUAACAACAGAUGAUGCCUAUCAACUGUUUAAAAGAUGGUUCUGCUAUCACUCUUGGAUGGACCUGUGGUGCAUUAGCUAGUUGGUAGGGUAACGGCCUACCAAGGCGAUGAUGCAUAGCCGAGUUGAGAGACUGAUCGGCCACAUUGGGACUGAGACACGGCCCAAACUCCUACGGGAGGCAGCAGCU
rnacentral:rRNA from 1 species